rnacentral:piRNA from 1 species
UUACUCCUACUCACUGAAAUU